UACGUAGGUGGCAAGCGUUAUCCGGAUUUAUUGGGCGUAAAGGGAACGCAGGCGGUCUUUUAAGUCUGAUGUGAAAGCCUUCGGCUUAACCGGAGUAGUGCAUUGGAAACUGGGAGACUGGAGUGCAGAAGAGGAGAGUGGAACUCCAUGUGUAGCGGUGAAAUGCGUAGAUAUAUGGAAGAACACCAGUGGCGAAAGCGGCUCUCUGGUCUGUAACUGACGCUGAGGUUCGAAAGCGUGGGUAGCAAACAGG
rnacentral:rRNA from 1 species